ACGCUCGACACCUACUGGAGGCAGCAGUGGGGGAUAUUGCGCAAUGGGGGAAACCCUGACGCAGCAACGCCGCGUGAAGGACGAAGGUUUUCGGAUUGUAAACUUCUUUUGUUAGGGACGAAGAAAUGACGGUACCUGACGAAUAAGCUCCGGCUAACUACGUGCCAGUAGCCGCGGUAAUCUGAGCGGGCUGGCAAGGC
rnacentral:rRNA from 1 species